rnacentral:rRNA from 1 species
UACGUAGGGGGCUAGCGUUGUCCGGAUUUAUUGGGCGUAAAGAGCGUGUAGGCGGCCAUGUAGGUCCGGUGUGAAAACUCGAGGCUUAACCUCGAGAUGUCAUCGGAAACCAUUUGGCUAGAGUCCGGAAGAGGAGAGUGGAAUUCCUGGUGUAGCGGUGAAAUGCGCAGAUAUCAGGAGGAACACCCGUGGCGAAAGGCGGGUCUCUGG